CUCGUCAUAGUUCAAUCGGAUAGAACAUAUGCCUCCUAAGCGUAUAAUCCCAGUUCAAGUCUGGGUGGCGAGUCCA
rnacentral:tRNA from 1 species